CUGUGAAGACAACAAUGAGAGAGGAUGUAUCCACAUGCCGAUGGAAAUUAAAUAUGCCGAGUUUUGGCUGAAAGACAACUUAUUCUCCGUCAAUUUUUCUUACGAAUACAAGGUUGAGCUGCAACCACCUCAACACUAUCCCUGCAUUUUCAUCAGUCCGGUGCUCAAAAAAUACUAAAGGUGGAAAACGCUGUUAGGCAAGGGAAGACAAGUUCAUGUGCCUCACAACAACACUUCCUGUACGUCGAUGGAUAUACAGUGGGUCAAAUUCAGUCUUCCCAGCCUGGUGCAGGUCUACAAUUUGUCUCUGGUGUCCUUCGACAGCUCUUUGGUCUUGGCCAUUGUGGAGUUUGGAGUGUGACUGACUGAGCUUGUGGACAGGUGUCUUAUAUACCGAUAAUGAGUUAAAACAGGUGCCAUUAAUACAGGUAAUGAGUGGAGCCUUGUUAGAAGAAGUCUUUGACAGCCAGAAAUCUUGCUUGUUUGUAGGUGACCAAAUACUUAUUUUCCACUCUAAUGUGGAAAUAAAUUCUUUAAAAAUCAAACACUGUGAUUUUCUGUUUUUUUCCACAUCUGUCUCUCAUGGUUGAAGUUUACCCAUGUAGACAAAUACAGGCCUCUCUAAUAUUUUCAAAUGGGAGAACUUGCACAAUUAGUGGUUGACUAAAUACUUAUUUGCCCCACAGUAAGUAUAGUUGUUCGUUAACUAAAGUUAGUUAACUUCCUGUCUUAGUUCUGUUGGCGUUGUCUCUUGACCUCGUACCCACAAGGCUGUGCGUUCGUGUUCUGUUCUGGAGGCUUUUGGGGCUAGCUAGCAAGCAAAGCUAGUAUCACCAUUGGCGUGAUUUUGUCUGCUGGUCAGAUUGUUUUGUUACACAGAUGUGGGAUGAGUUCCCAACAUCGUACCUGCACACAAUUCCAGUAUCCAAAAAGUGAUCCUAGGCAGCUUGCCGAGAUGUUAACUUGCUGCCAUUUGACAGUUUGUAUAUCCCUUCGGUGCUAGUUGCAUUUUGGCCUUGUUUUUCUUCAUUUGUCUGCCGCCCUGGUUUUUGGAAUACUCUGCCGUGUACAGGUAUUUGAGUGCAUUAUUUGUUUUCGCCUUGCUUUUGCAAACGGUUUCCCCAGUUUUGUUUUCUUUAACCCCGACCUGCUGUCACGCACCCUUUUUUUUGUCUCCCUUUUCGCGAUCGCGUGUUUUUCGUGUGUUUAAUAAACCCUUGUACGCAAUAGCUCUGCUAUUGUUGUCUGCUUUGUGGUCAAGCCUCGCUUCCGCAUUCCCGAACCGUUUGUUGCUUGUCAUCUAAGGACUUGAGUUACCAAUUGCAACUAAUAGUUCGAUAAACAUACACAUACUAUUGAUGUAGAAAAAAAUAACGUGUUCCUUGUGUAUGUUAAUGUUGCCAAAAGUGUGAUCUUGAACCCUUAUUGCAGCGCCAGUGCGGAGUGGAACAAAAAGAGAAACACGUUUGCUCACUGCAGUGUAUGUCUCACGUGCUUUAAGUACAAAUAAACGACAGUCCUCUUAUAUCUCAAUGUGCAAAAUAAGGCACAUAAAUACUCCCGCACACAAAUGAUAUUCUGUUGGGCAGAAAAUGAUAGGUAUAGCCGGCAAUCAAACUAAGUUUAAUACACAAUACAUAUUCAUUCGUUUUCCGUGUCGCUCAUUAACCGCCACGCAAGCAUCGGGAGCAACAUCUGAUCAAUCUGAGAACACCAGCAUAAUGAUCAUUAAUCUGGACAGCGUUUUUCCGUGACAAAAAUAAGGUAACAUGUCAUUAGACGGCUCAGUAAAGGCAAACUUUCAUGUACUGUGGUGCACAGAGUAUCUGCAAAAAUAAUCAAACUGCUGUGUUUCACUGUCUACCCUAAUCAUACGAUGCUGGACAAUAACUAUCUCCUUAAUAAAAGGUUAUGCAUAAUGGAACAAGUUGGAUCACACAAUAGUUCAUUGACAUCACUCUCCUGCUCCGUCACUCGAGCAGGAGCGUGCUUCUCUUGCGAACCUGUCAUAUGAACACUACCGGUUUUGUGCUACUCUCGCCUCGUCCAGUCUUUCCUGUUAAUUUUGCAGUUGCUAGUCGUUUUGUGAAAUAUCGACAGGGCUUUUUUAAUCACUUUUCCGCUCGGGUUCAGAUUGGAAGGGCAGAACCGACGAAAUGUUUGUCGUCAGAGAGCGAAACUUUGGAAGUCCGGCAACACGGCCCGGUGAAGUCAUCACCAGCGUCGUCGUCAACAAUGGUGACCUACUAGUUACACUAAUUUUACAAAUUUUAUCAAAACAGAAACAUUAAGAGGAGUUUUAACAUCAAAUUAUUAUAACUCAUACUAACAUUUAUCUUUCAAGAACUACAUGUCUUUCUCUCCGUGGUACCCUUUAAUGAAAGAGGCACACUUGCUUUCAAAUCUGACUUCAAUAUAUCCCAAAUUAGCAGACAUUGGGGCAUUUUUGCAUACAAACAGGUAUAAAUCAUGAAUUCCAAGAGGGGGUUGUUUUUGACUUUAGGGUGAGGAAGAAGCUCAUAAAGGUGUUUUAUCAGCCAAAGGAUUAAAACCAGACAUCUCUGUAUCCCAGCGAUGCCGGUUUACCUGUUUUGUGUUAAACAGUAUACAAAUAAUGAUAUAAAUGUGAGUACAAAACAGUUCUUACGAGUGCACUAACAUUAAAGGGAUACAGUGAUACCUCAGCUCACGAACAUAAUUGGUUCCCAGAAAGUGUGCGUGAGGCGAAAAGUUCGUCUUCCGAACAUUUAUUUCCCAUA